UACGUAGGGUGCGAGCGUUGUCCGGAAUUAUUGGGCGUAAAGAGCUCGUAGGCGGUGUGUCACGUCGUUCGUGAAAAACCUGCAGCUUAACUGUGGGCGUGCGGUCGAUACGGGCAUCACUGGAGUUCGGCAGGGGAGACUGGAAUUCCUGGUGUAGCGGUGAAAUGCGCAGAUAUCAGGAAGGAACACCGAUGGCGAAGGCAGGUCUCUGGGCCACUACUGACGCUGAGAAGCGAAAGCAUGGGGAGCGAACAGG
rnacentral:rRNA from 1 species